rnacentral:rRNA from 1 species
GACGGACGCUGGCGGCGUGCUUAACACAUGCAAGUCGAACGAUGAAGAAGAGAAACGCGAACUUCGGUUCAAAUUUCACUUCGGAUUAGUGGCAGACGGGUGAGUAACGCGUGAGCAACCUACCUCUUACAAAGGGAUAGCCUCGGGAAACCGUGAUUAAUACCAUAUGACACAUUCAUAAGGCAUCUUAAGAAUGUUAAAGCUACGGCGGUAAGAGAUGGGCUCGCGUCCCAUUAGCUAGUUGGUGAGGUAACGGCCCACCAAGGCGACGAUGGGUAACCGGCCUGAGAGGGUGAACGGUCACAUUGGAACUGAGCCACGGUCCAAACUCCUACGGGAGGCAGCAGUGGGGAAUAUUGCACAAUGGAGGGAACUCUGAUGCAGCGACGCCGCGUGAGCGAUGAAGGAAUUCGUUUCGUAAAGCUCUGUUCUAUGGGAAGAAAAGGACUGUACCAUAGGAGAAAGCCCCGGCUAAAUACGUG